CGCACAGUGAUUCACUCUAAGGCCAUAAAUCGAAAAAUGUCAUCGGCUUAUCCCCAUUAGAUCUACUUACUAAGUGAUUAACAAGUUAAGAAGCUUCCAAAAACUCUAAAUACCAGUGUCAUAAGGUCAACUUAUUAUUCACUUUUGUGCAUCGGAAGUUAGCGCAUCUCGAGUCUAAUUAUCGCAACGUGUGAGUCAUCAAAACUUAACACUUUGUUUUUGAGUGUCACUAUUCCAAAUCAAGUGUUUACGUAUGGUGAUAGUAUGGAGGUCCAAGACCAAGGUAAAGUUUUCAAAUGUUCUGUUUCGAGGACGACUAUUUUUGACAUUUGGCACUCUAAAGAGGGUAGUCCAAAUGAAAAAUGCAACAUCGUGCCUUUCGGAUGACAUCGAAAAUAUCAAACUAGAGACUUUAAGUAAUAAAAUUAUGAAUGUAUGUAAACGAAUUUCUCAUUAUUGGGCAAUAUCAAAUCGUAGUAGGUCUAAGUUUAUAGAGAAAUAUUCAGAUUGGCUGAAUGUAGUUAAAAAUAUUGAUGUAGAGCGAAUUGAGUUACAUGUAUCUCAGAAGUCUGACAAAGUUGAACCAUCAACUUCUUCAUUCAGAUCCCUUCCUAACAGGUUUACGAAAGUUCCCUGUCAAAAACAAAAGGUGUACUAUCAAAAAUUGUACUAGAUUUGUUAUCUGUUUGUAGUAAAUACUUUUGAGCUUGAAUGUAUUCUGGUAUAUUUUGUGUUUUGUGUGUAUUUGCAAAAAAGGUUGUUCGUGUA
rnacentral:lncRNA from 1 species